rnacentral:rRNA from 1 species
AGGAUAAACGUUGGCGGCGUGCCUAAUGCAUGCAAGUCGCACGAGGGCUUCGGCCUUAGUGGCGGACGGGUGAGUAACACGUACGAAUCUGCCCGGAGGUGGGGGACAACUUCCCGAAAGGGAAGCUAAUACCGCAUACGGUCUACGGACCAAAGCCGAAAGGCGCCACCGGAGGAGCGUGCGGCGGAUUAGCUAGUUGGUGGGGUAACGCCUACCAAGGCGACGAUCCGUAGCU